GUCCAGACUCCUACGGGAGGCAGCAGUGGGGAAUAUUGCACAAUGGGGGAAACCCUGAUGCAGCGACGCCGCGUGAGCGAUGAAGUAUUUCGGUAUGUAAAGCUCUAUCAGCAGGGAAGAAAAUGACGGUACCUGACUAAGAAGCCCCGGCUAACUACGUGCCAGCAGCCGCGGUAAUACGUAGGGGGCAAGCGUUAUCCGGAUUUACUGGGUGUAAAGGGGGCGCAGACGGCAGCGCAAGCCAGGAGUGAAAGCCCGGGGCCCAACCCCGGGACUGCUCUUGGAACUGCGCGGCUGGAGUGCAGGAGGGGCAGGCGGAAUUCCUGGUGUAGCGGUGAAAUGCGUAGAGAUUAGGAAGAACACCAGUGGCGAAGGCGAUUCUCUGGACUGUAACUGACGCUGAGGCUCGAAAGCGUGGGGAGCAAACAGGAUUAGAUACCCGCGUACG
rnacentral:rRNA from 1 species